rnacentral:rRNA from 1 species
GAACGAACGCUGGCGGCAGGCUUACCACAUGCAAGUCGAACGCCCCGCAAGGGGAGUGGCAGACGGGUGAGUAACGCGUGGGAAUCUACCCAUCCCUACGGAAUAACGCAUGGAAACGUGUGCUAAUACCGUAUACGCCCUACGGGGGAAAGAUUUAUCGGGGAUGGAUGAGCCCGCGUUGGAUUAGCUAGUUGGUGGGGUAAAGGCCUACCAAGGCGACGAUCCAUAGCUGGUCUGAGAGGAUGAUCAGCCACAUUGGGACUGAGACACGGCCCAAACUCCUACGGGAGGCAGCAGUGGGGAAUAUUGGACAAUGGGCGCAAGCCUGAUCCAGCCAUGCCGCGUGAGUGAUGAAGGCCUUAGGGUUGUAAAGCUCUUUCACCGGAGAAGAUAAUGACGGUAUCCGGAGAAGAAGCCCCGGCUAACUUCGUG